GCGGAGGAAAAGAAACCAACAGGGAUUGCCUCAGUAACGGCGAGUGAAGCGGCAACAGCUCAAAUUUGAAAUCUGGCCCUAGGCCCGAGUUGUAAUUUGCAGAGGAUGCUUUUGGUGCGGUGCCUUCCAAGUUCCCUAGAACGGGACGCCAGAGAGGGUGAGAGCCCCGUACAGUUGGACACCAAGCCUUUGUAAAGCUCCUUCGACGAGUCGAGUAGUUUGGGAAUGCUGCUCAAAAUGGGAGGUAUAUUUCUUCUAAAGCUAAAUACCGGCCAGAGACCGAUAGCGCACAAGUAGAGUGAUCGAAAGAUGAAAAGCACUUUGAAAAGAGGGUUAAACAGCACGUGAAAUUGUUAAAAGGGAAGCGCUUGUGACCAGACUUGCGUCCGGUGAAUCACCCAGCUCUCGCGGCUGGGGCACUUCGCCGGCUCAGGCCAGCAUCAGCUCGCUGUCGGGGACAAAAGCUUCAGGAACGUAGCUCUCUUCGGGGAGUGUUAUAGCCUGUUGCAUAAUACCCUUCGGCGGGCUGAGGUACGCGCUCCGCAAGGAUGCUGGCAUAAUGGUCAUCAGCGACCCGUCUUGAAACACGGACCAAGGAGUCAACCUUAUGUGCGAGUGUUCGGGUGUCAAACCCCUACGCGUAAUGAAAGUGAACGCAGGUGAGAGCUUCGGCGCAUCAUCGACCGAUCCUGAUGUUCUCGGAUGGAUUUGAGUAAGAGCAUAUAGGGUUGGACCCGAAAGAAGGUGAACUAUGCGUGUAUAGGGUGAAGCCAGAGGAAACUCUGGUGGAGGCUCGCAGCGGUUCUGACGUGCAAAUCGAUCGUCAAAUAUGCGCA
rnacentral:sRNA from 1 species